rnacentral:antisense_RNA from 1 species
CUUGAGGGAGCCGAGGAGCAGCGGCCGGUCGGCGGGCCGGUCCUGGCCGUACGUCGCCAGCAGGGCCUGCGCCUC